rnacentral:rRNA from 1 species
UACAGAGGGUGCGAGCGUUGUCCGGAAUCACUGGGCGUAAAGGGCGCGUAGGCGGCGCGGUAAGCGUGCGGUGAAAGCCCGGGGCUCAACCCCGGGUCGGCCGUGCGGACUGCCGGGCUGGAGCACUGUAGAGGCAGGUGGAAUUCCGGGUGUAGCGGUGGAAUGCGUAGAGAUCCGGAAGAACACCGGUGGCGAAGGCGGCCUGCUGGGCAGUAGCUGACACUGAGACGCGAAAGCGUGGGGAGCAAACAGG